rnacentral:rRNA from 1 species
UACAUAGGUGACAAGCGUUGUCCGGAUUUACUGGGCGUAAAGAGCGCGCAGGCGGUCGAUCAAGUCGAGUGUGGAAGCCCCCGGCUCAACUGGGGAGGGUCAUUCGAAACUGGUCGACUCGAAGGCAGGAGAGGGUAGUGGAAUUCCCGGUGUAGUGGUGAAAUGCGUAGAUAUCGGGAGGAACACCAGUGGCGAAGGCGACUACCUGGCCUGUUCUUGACGCUGAGGCGCGAAAGCUAGGGGAGCAAACGGG